rnacentral:rRNA from 1 species
AUGCACGCUGGCGGCGUGCCUCAUCCCUGCCAGUCGCGCGAACAGACGAGGAGCUUGCUCCUCUGACGUUAGCGGCGGACGGGUGAGUAACACGUGGAUAACCUACCUAUAAGACUGGGAUAACUUCGGGAAACCGGAGCUAAUACCGGAUAAUAUAUUGAACCGCAUGGUUCAAUAGUGAAAGAUGGUUUUGCUGUCACUUAUAGAUGGAUCCGCGCCGCAUUAGCUAGUUGGUAAGGUAACGGCUUACCAAGGCAACGAUGCGUAGCCGACCUGAGAGGGUGAUCGGCCACACUGGAACUGAGACACGGUCCAGACUCCUACGGGAGGCAGCAGUAGGGAAUCUUCCGCAAUGGGCGAAAGCCUGACGGAGCAACGCCGCGUGAGUGAUGAAGGUCUUCGGAUCGUAAAACUCUGUUAUUAGGGAAGAACAAAUGUGUAAGUAACUAUGCACGUCUUGACGGUACCUAAUCAGAAAGCCACGGCUAACUACGUG